GGAGCAAGUUCUACACAAUCAGCUCCCUAUGAAUCCUCCAGGGUGGGAACACAGCAAAGGUAACUAGGUUUUGUAGCGAUGUGAUGUAGUUCAGCUUGCUCCAUUU
rnacentral:SRP_RNA from 1 species